rnacentral:rRNA from 1 species
UACGUAGGGGGCUAGCGUUGUCCGGAAUCAUUGGGCGUAAAGAGCGUGUAGGCGGUCCGGUAAGUCCGCUGUGAAAGUCGGGGGCUCAACCCUCGAAUGCCGGUGGAUACUGUCGGGCUAGAGUGCGGAAGAGGCGAGUGGAAUUCCUGGUGUAGCGGUGAAAUGCGCAGAUAUCAGGAGGAACACCGGUGGCGAAGGCGGUUCUCUGGGCAUUACCUGACGCUGAGGAGCGAAAGCGUGGGGAGCGAACAGG